AGCAGUGUGGCUCAGUGGAAAGAGCGUGUGCUUUGAAUUCAGAGGUCAUGAGUUCGAAUCCCAGCUCUGCCA
rnacentral:tRNA from 1 species